rnacentral:rRNA from 1 species
GUAUUAUAUGCUGAUGUUAAAGAUUAAGCCAUGCAUGUGUAAGUUUAAAGACCAAGUAGGAUGAAACUGCGGACGGCUCAUUAUAACAGUAAUAGUUUCUUUGGUUAGUCGGUACAAGGAUAACUUUGUGAAUGAUAAAGCUAAUACUUGAGACGAUCCGGGAAGUAUUUAUACUUUCCGGCCCUCGGCCGCGAGGUUGGGGAGAAACGACAUUCUCUUGUGAAAAAGGAUGCCGCGACAAUUGAGGAAAGCGACGCUUUUAACAAGUAACCAAUGGGAAUUUCUGAUCUAUCAAUUUGUUGGUAGUAUCGAGGACUACCAAGAUUAUAACGGAUAACGAGGAAUUGGGGUUCGACAUCGGAGAGGGAGCUUUACAGAUGGCUACCACUUCUAAGGAAGGCAGCAGGCGCGUAAAUUACCCACUUUCGACCCGAAGAGGUAGUGACGACAAAUAACUCUUGGCGCCCCUCGGGGUGACUUGAAGGAAUGAUUUAGAAGUAAAUUCUCUAAAGAAAUCAAUUGGAGGGCAAGUCUGGUGCCAGCAGCCGCGGUAAUUCCAG